GUGCUGAUACAGCCAGCUGUGAGAGCUGCUCCCUUUUCUGCUCUGAAGUUCCCUCUUCUCAGAAGGCAGGACCACCCUGAGUUGCUGGCAGUGAGUCUGUUCCAAGUUCCAGUGAGGGAGGCAUCCACCCACUUGGGGCUUCUGUCCAAGGUAAGGAGCACCUGCGAGUCUAACUGUCAGGCUCUGAUGGGUGUCUCGUCUCUGUGGGACUAGAAAGUGCCCCAACAAUCUGACCGAGGUAAUGGGAAGUUACAGAAGUUAAGAGAAGGACAGGGUAAGUCGGUAAGAAAGUGCAGAGGAAGAGAAACAAAGGAAAGAUAGAGGUCUGCAAAGAAGUGAGCUAAGAGCAAAGCUUCAGCAGACUCAGGAGAGAUAGGUUAACAGUGAGGAGAGGUAGAAAUAGAGAUGAAGGAGAUUAGAGAGGUCUGAGAUGAGAGAGAUACUCUAAAUGAGAAAUAUUUAGAGGAAGAACCAGUAAAUAAGAGUCAGACAAGAAGAAGAGUUAAGGAAACAUGAGGCUGACAAAGACAGAGACCAGAGUCAGAAUCAGAGCUGUGCUGUGAGACAAAAAGAUAUAUAUAUAUAUAUAUAUAGAGAGAAGAUUAUUAUGAGAUCUCCAUUACAGUUAGGAAACAGGAGUAAAGAGAGGUAAAUGACAAAGACUAAAACCUAGCAAAGUGGCACAUGCUAGCACUUAGAAAUGAUCUGUAAGAAAUAAGAAGCCAGAAAAUUAAAAAAAGAUAAGAGAAAUGAAAUGCUUGCCACAAAAGUCAGGGAAACUAAAAAACUUAGAUAAGUACCUGGCAACAAAAGAAAGCUUUUGGCUAAAGAUCAAUGUGUUUAAGAGAUCGCAAAAGGGGUGCUAAUACAGAAGCUGAGUCCUUAGAAGAGGCCGGUGGCCUACCUGUUGAAGCAGCUAGAAAAGAGACUGUGUUUCAUACUCCUCCACCGACCAGUGCAAAACAAGCUAAAAAAGUUCCUGGGCACUGCGGGCUUUUGCAGAUUGUGGAUUCCAGGUUUUACUAAAUUAAAGAGAUAAACAGCCCUUCGUAUAUAAAAAAUAAAGAACAAUCUUGGAUGGCCUUGGAUGCUAUUGAGACUGCCCUAAUGUUGUCCCCAACUUUGGGACUCCUAGAUGUGACUGAGAACAAAAGUUUUGCCAAAGAGGUUCUUACUCAGAGAUUGGGACCCAGGAAAAGACCUGUGGCAUACUUGUAAGAAAUUAGACUUGGUGGCUGUAGGAUGGCCUGCUUGUCUGCACAUAGUGGCUUCUGGUCAAGGACGCAGAUAAAUUGACUCUGAGACAAAAUUUGGCACAUGCCCUAAAAAGUGUGGUUCAGCCCCCCCGACUGAUGGCUGACUAAUGCUCUUAAAAACAUUAUCCAACUGUUCCCCUGACCGAUGGACACAUUGUCAGAGCUUUUUGUUGACUGAACGAGUGACCUUCGCUCCCCCUGCUGUCCUCAAUCUCACUACUGCCUGAGACUUCACCUACUCAUCAUUGUGCUGACAUUCUGGCAGAAGGAACUCAUACUCGAAAUGAUCUGAAGGAUCAGAUCAGCCUUGGCCUGAGAGUUUGAGCUGGUACACGGAUGGCAGUAGCCUCGAGGUUGAAGGUAAGCGGAAGGCGGGGACAGCAGUGCAGUGGUGGACAGAAAGCAAGUGAUCUAGGCCAGCAGCCUCCCUAAAGGGACUUCAGCCCAGAAAGCUAAUCUUGUGGCUUUAAUACAAGCUCUAUAUAUACAGACAAAGAGAGCUGUUGACAUCUGCAGAGAAAGACCUAAGAUGCUGUGGCUAAAAGAAAUCAGAUGGCAAAUCUAACCACCAAACAGGCAUCCUAAAGAGCAAUGAUCCUGACAGUCUGAAGACUAUCAAGUUAUAGACAAAUUAAGACUGGUAAAAGAAACCCUGUAUAAAAUAGUAGAAACUGAAGUAAGAAAACUAGUCCUCUCAUGAGAAGACAGACCUGACAUCUACUGAAAAAUAGACUUUACUGAAAAAAUAUGUGUAUGAAUACCUUCUGGUUUUUGUGAACAUUCUCAAGAUAGAUAAAAGCUUUUCCUUGUAAAACUGAGACUGCUCAGAUAGUCAUCAAGAAGAUUAUUAAAAAAAAUUUUUUUCCAAGGUUCAGAGUGCCAAAAGCAAUAGUGUCAGAUAAUGGCCCUGCCUUUGUUGCCCAGGUAAGUCAGGUUGUGGCCAAGUAUUUAGAGGUCAAAUGAAAAUUGUAUUAUGUGUACAGACCUCAGAACUCAGGACAGAUAGAAAUAAUGAAUAAAACUCUAAACAGACCUUGACAAAAUUAAUCCUAGAGACUGGCACAGACUUACUUGGUGCUCCUUCCCCUUGCCCUAUUUAGAACUGAGAAUACUCCCUCUUGAUUCAGUUUUACUCUUUUUGAGAUCCUUUAUGGGGCUCCUAUGCCCAUCACUGUCUUAAAUGAUGUGUUUAAACCUAUGUUGUUAUAAUAAUGAUCUGUAUGCUAAGUUAAAAGGCUUGCAGGUGGUGCAGAAAGAAGUUUGGUCACAACUGUCUACAGUGAAUGAGCCGGGUACCCCAAGGACAUCUUACCAGUUCCAGCCAGAGAUCUGAUCUACGUACACCUGUGUCAUGCUGAGACCCUCAAGCCUCACUAGAAGGGUCCCUGCCUAGUUCUGUUUACUAAUCCGUCUUAUUCUGUUUUUGUUCCCAUGUUAAAGAUAGAGUAAAUGCAGUAUUCUCCACAUAGAGAUAUAGACUUCUGAAAUUCUAAGAUUAGAAUUACUUAGUAGAAGAAGAGGGGAAUGAAAGAAAGAUGAAAUUUCAAGACCUGUAAGUCAUAUAAAGUACUCAGAAAUUGCUGGUUGUUUGUGAGCCUAGAGGCUGCCUGGGGCUGAGAAAAGAGAAAAACAAACCUGGGUAUGCCUUGUAGUUAAAACAUUCCUGGGAACAUCUUGACCAUAAGAUAAAGGGGACUGUGAAGACAUAGCAGGGUUAUAUUAUCUAAGUCAACACCAUCUGGCCAGAAUCUCCCCUCUGUCUAUUGCCCCUUGGAGCCAGGUAAAGUCAUACAUCAACUGGUUGCUAUGUGAACAAAGAUAAGCACCCAGCCCACAGGAACAAAGUCCUGAUGCACUGUGUUCUUUCUGUUAAUGUUUGAAUAAGCCAAUAGUGUGUCGCUAUGCUGAAUUCCACACCCCUAAGCCCCUUACCCCAUAAAAGCCCCUGGCUUUCGAGCCUCGUGGCCGACAUCUGUUAUCUCCUGUGUGGGAUGCAUGUCGGCCCGGAGCUCCGUAAUUAAACGUCCUCAUGUAAUU
rnacentral:lncRNA from 1 species